UACGAAGGGGGCUAGCGUUGUUCGGAAUUACUGGGCGUAAAGGGCGCGUAGGCGGCCAACUAAGUCACACGUGAAAUCCCCAGGCUUAACCUGGGAACUGCGUGUGAUACUGGAUGGCUUGAAUUCGGGAGAGGGAUGCAGAAUUCCAGGUGUAGCGGUGAAAUGCGUAGAUAUCUGGAGGAAUACCGGUGGCGAAGGCGGCAUCCUGGACCGACAUUGACGCUGAGGCGCGAAAGCUAGGGGAGCAAACGGG
rnacentral:rRNA from 1 species